ensembl:snRNA U6 U6 spliceosomal RNA
GUGCUAACCUCGAGUACAUACACUAAAAUUGGAAUAAUAUAGAGAAGAUUAUCAUGGUACCUAUGCAAGGAUAACACACAAACUCAUGAAGCAUUCCCCAUUUUU